AUUGAACGCUGGCGGCAUGCCUUACACAUGCAAGUCGAACGGUAACAGGUCUUCGGAUGCUGACGAGUGGCGAACGGGUGAGUAAUAUAUCGGAACGUGCCCAGUAGUGGGGGAUAACUGCUCGAAAGAGCAGCUAAUACCGCAUACGACCUGAGGGUGAAAGGGGGGGAUCGCAAGACCUCUCGCUAUUGGAGCGGCCGAUAUCAGAUUAGCUAGUUGGUGGGGUAAAGGCCUACCAAGGCAACGAUCUGUAGUUGGUCAGAGAGGACGACCAGCCACACUGGGACUGAGACACGGCCCAGACUCCUACGGGAGGCAGCAGUGGGGAAUUUUGGACAAUGGGCGCAAGCCUGAUCCAGCAAUGCCGCGUGCAGGAAGAAGGCCUUCGGGUUGUAAACUGCUUUUGUCAGGGAAGAAAUCUUCUGGGCUAAUACCCCGGGAGGAUGACGGUACCUGAAGAAUAAGCACCGGCUAACUACGUGCCAGCCGCCGCCGUAA
rnacentral:rRNA from 1 species